ensembl:lncRNA
GUGCAUUUAAUGGAUUGAUUUGUAAACAUUUAUAUACUUGUAAAAUUCCAAAUCUGGUUUAACUGAACAUUGAAUAAACAUGUUAUUAGGAAAAAAUCUGAUGAUUAAAAAAACGUGUUAAAGGGAAAAUAUGUUGAAACAAACAAAUGAAAGACAUUUGUGUUAAAACGUAACUGGAAAGCAAGAAUGUCUUCUGUUCCAAUGUUGAUGUGACAGCAUGAACAUAAUGGUCAAUAGAACAUAUUCUUGGAAACAGCUGCACCAUUUCCUCCGGAUUAGGAAAAGGGCGCAGAGACAGAAGUUGCUCAGCCAUGGGAAGACCCGCCAUGCUCUCCCUCUCACUGGCCACGCCAUGGAUCUGUGCAGCAAUGGAGCACCUGAAUGCAGUAAUGGAGGUGGUGGGCAGUGCUGGGCUGGAGGGGUUACAUGACAGAAGGAGCGAUGGCUGUAACUGCGCUAGGGGAAGGUGGGCUGAGAAUUAGGAAAAUCUGUGAUCCCUUUUUCAGGCAUUCCUUGGGGGAAAACUAACAAGCAAACAAAUAACAGCAACAAAACAGCUACAGAAGGAACACCCCAGUUAAAAUACAACUGAAGAACCUAAUAUAAAAUACUAAAUUGUCAUCCUCUGGUUUCUUACUCCUUCAGGUAUCUCCUAGCUUCAUUAUCACACACAUUGCACUACUACACAUAUUUUAUCUUGCAUGUAUGUAACGUACAUAUGGUGUCUGUAGGCUACAUUUUUCU